AUACACCCAGAAUGUAUAAAGAAUUCCUACUUAAGAGGCUAACACAGAGGGUAAAGCAAGUCUCCAUAAAACCCAAAGAAGAGAUGGUAAAACUCCUCUUUGGAUCCUGUCUGGAGUCACAGCU
ensembl:snoRNA small nucleolar RNA SNORA26